CAAGAAAGGUCCAACAUUAGUUUAAUACAUAAAUAAACUCAAACAAUACACAAAUAAUGCAAGUCGAGUAUGUUAAACAAUGGAGGAAACCAACAGAAUCGGAGAAAGAUUAAUUUCCAAAUCUAAUCAAAAGCUUCAUAUUCAAACUAAUAAAUAACACCACCACAAGUUCAACCACGUACUUAAAACAAGAAGAAGAUCAUAAUAGAAACAUAUUCAAGAGAAAAGGGCUCCAAAG
rnacentral:misc_RNA from 1 species